GGAUUCUUUAUCACUGAGCCACUUGCUCAAUCUCCAUAUCAAGUCACCUUGAAAAAUAGAUCAUCCACCAGAGCCUAGUGUAUACAAUGGAGAACCAUAUUCAACACUCUGA